AUGCAGAUCUUUGUGAAGACCCUCACUGGCAAGACCAUCACCCUAGAGGUUGAGAGCUCCGACACCAUAGACAACGUCAAGGCCAAGAUCCAGGACAAGGAGGGCAUUCCCCCGGACCAGCAGCGUCUCAUCUUCGCUGGCAAGCAGCUGGAGGAUGGCCGUACCCUUGCUGACUACAACAUCCAGAAGGAGUCCACCCUCCACCUUGUCCUGCGUCUGCGUGGUGGCAUGCAGAUCUUCGUGAAGACCCUCACCGGCAAGACCAUCACUCUUGAGGUUGAGAGCUCCGACACAAUCGACAAUGUCAAGGCCAAGAUCCAGGACAAGGAGGGCAUUCCCCCGGACCAGCAGCGCCUGAUCUUUGCUGGCAAGCAGCUGGAGGAUGGUCGCACCCUCGCAGACUACAACAUCCAGAAGGAGUCCACCCUCCACCUGGUACUCCGUCUUCGCGGUGGUCAGUAA
rnacentral:rRNA from 1 species